rnacentral:rRNA from 1 species
GACGAACGCUGGCGGCGUGCUUAACACAUGCAAGUCGAACGGAAAGGCCUCUUUCGGGGGGUACUCGAGUGGCGAACGGGUGAGUAACACGUGAGUAACCUGCCCUUUACUUUGGGAUAACUUCAGGAAACUGGGGCUAAUACCGGAUAGGAGCUCCUGCUGCAUGGUGGGGGUUGGAAAGUUUCGGCGGUUGGGGAUGGACUCGCGGCUUAUCAGCUUGUUGGUGGGGUAGUGGCUUACCAAGGCUUUGACGGGUAGCCGGCCUGAGAGGGUGACCGGCCACAAUGGGAAUGGGAUACGGCCCAGACUCCUACGGGAGGCAGCAGUGGGGAAUAUUGCAAAAUGGGUGGAAGCCUGAUGCAGCAACGCCGUGUGCGGGAUGACGGCCUUCGGGUUGUAAACCGCUUUCGCUCAUGACGAAGCUUUGUGUGACGGUAGUGGGUAAAGAAGCACCGGCUAACUACGUG